rnacentral:ncRNA from 1 species
GCAAAAACGAUGACGGGGACAGUACGUUUACAUAAAUCAGUGUUAAAGCGAACCGGGGAGGGUGUAAGCCCGGCUGCUGAUUGUUGACGGAAGAUCACCCUUGAGUGCUUUUCGUGAACGAAUAGUAGCGGACAAGCGGCUCAUCCACGUUACGGAUGGUGAGCGGACAGUGUAGUUGCUGUCAAUCAGGGUGGUACCGCGGAAACCUUUUUCGUCCCUUAU